CAGUUAUACAUAACACGAACGAAGAUAUAAAUAUAUGCUUUACGGGCGAAUUAUUAAAUUAAAACGCGAGCGCGAGAGAGUAACUACGAUGUCAGACCGUUCGAGGCAUACUGAAGAUGAUUCCUUAGCAAUGACAUGGAAAGAAUAGUAAGCGCUACGAACGGAGUACUUUAACAACUUCAUGCGGGGCUUCGCCUGCUAAAUGGAUGAUGGCAAUUCAAUUAUCUGUGACGAGUGACGUCAACUGUUCGAUACGAUCGCGCGCAGUGUAAUAUAGAGGUAAUAGUCUUUUAGUAAAUAAAAUUUUUCGAAACGUUUUAUCAGUAAUAAUUCGAAAUGUAAUAAGUCGUCGAAAAAAUUACAUGCAAAUAUGAGAUAUAUAUAUGAGUAUUGUAUUGUUUACCUAAAUAAAAACUUGACGGCUUGUUCUACU